UACGGAGGGGGCUAGCGUUGUUCGGAAUUACUGGGCGUAAAGCGCACGUAGGCGGACUGUUAAGUCGGGGGUGAAAUCCUGGGGCUCAACCUCAGAAUUGCCUCCGAUACUGGCAGUCUCGAGUGCGGGAGAGGUGAGUGGAAUUCCCAGUGUAGAGGUGAAAUUCGUAGAUAUUGGGAAGAACACCAGUGGCGAAGGCGGCUCACUGGCC
rnacentral:rRNA from 1 species